CCUACGGGGCGCAGCAGUGAGGAAUAUUGGUCAAUGGGCGGGAGCCUGAACCAGCCAAGUCGCGUGAGGGAUGACGGUCCUAUGGAUUGUAAACCUCUUUUGUCAGGGAGCAAAGGGCGCCACGUGUGGCGCUUUGCGAGUACCCGGAGAAAAAGCAUCGGCUAACUCCGUGCCAGCAGCCGCGGUAAUACGGAGGAUGCGAGCGUUAUCCGGAUUUAUUGGGUUUAAAGGGUGCGUAGGCGGGAUGCCAAGUCAGCGGUAAAAAUGCGGUGCUCAACGCCGUCGAGCCGUUGAAACUGGCGUUC
rnacentral:rRNA from 1 species